rnacentral:misc_RNA from 1 species
GAAAUGCGAUAAGUAAUGUGAAUUGCAGAAUUCAGUGAAUCAUCGAAUAUUUGAACGCACCUUGCGCUCCUUGGUAUUCCUUGGAGCAUGCCUGUUUGAGUAUCAUGAAAUCUUCAAAGUAAAUCUUUUGUUAACUCAAUUGGUUUCUACUUUGGUAUUGGAGGUCUUUGCAGCUUCACACCUGCUCCUCUUUGUUCAUUAGCUGGAUCUCAGUGUUAUGCUUGGUUCCACUCGGCGUGAUAAGUUAUCUAUCGCUGAGGACACUGUAAAAGGUGGCCAAGGUAAAUGCAGAUGAACCGCUUCUAAUAGUCCAUUGACUUGGACAAUACUUUUAUGAUCUGAUCUCAAAUCAGGUAGGACUACCCGCUGAACUUAAGC